rnacentral:rRNA from 1 species
GACGAACGCUGGCGGCGUGCCUAACACAUGCAAGUCGAACGAGGUCCAUGCAGUGGCAACACUGCGGAAGACCUAGUGGCGAACGGGUGAGUAACACGUGAGGAACUUGCCCCGGAGACCGGGAUAACCCUCCGAAAGGAGAGCUAAUACCGGAUGUCCUCACCGAGUCGCAUGGCUUGGUGAGGAAAUGGAUUCCGCUCCGGGAGAGCCUCGCGGCCUAUCAGCUUGUUGGCGGGGUAACGGCCCACCAAGGCAUCGACGGGUAGCUGGUCUGAGAGGACGAUCAGCCACACUGGGACUGAGACACGGCCCAGACUCCUACGGGAGGCAGCAGUGGGGAAUCUUGCGCAAUGGGCGAAAGCCCGACGCAGCAACGCCGCGUGCGGGAUGAAGGCCCUCGGGUUGUAAACCGCUUUCAGUGGGGACGAACCAAGACGGUACCCACAGAAGAAGCCCCGGCCAACUACGUGCCAGCCGCCGCCGUAAAAC